rnacentral:rRNA from 1 species
CGGACGGGUGAGUAACACGUGGAUAGCCUACCUAUAAGACUGGGAUAACUUCGGGAAACCGGAGCUAAUACCGGAUAAUAUUUUGAACCGCAUGGUUCAAAAGUGAAAGACGGUCUUGCUGUCACUUAUAGAUGGAUCCGCGCUGCAUUAGCUAGUUGGUAAGGUAACGGCUUACCAAGGCAACGAUGCAUAGCCGACCUGAGAGGGUGAUCGGCCACACUGGAACUGAGACACGGUCCAG